UACGAGAGGCCCCAAACGUUAUUCGGAUUUACUGGGCUUAAAGAGUUCGUAGGCGGCUUGGAAAGUGGGGUGUGAAAGCCCUCGGCUCAACCGAGGAAUUGCGCUCCAAACUACCGAGCUUGAGGAGGCUAGAGGUGAGCAGAACAGAUGGUGGAGCGGUGAAAUGCGUUGAUAUCAUCUGGAAUACCGGAGGCGAAGGCGGCUCACUGGGACCUUUCUGACGCUGAGGAACGAAAGCUAGGGGAGCAAACGGGAUUAGAAACCCCAGUAGU
rnacentral:rRNA from 1 species